rnacentral:rRNA from 1 species
ACGAACGCUGGCGGCGUGCUUAACACAUGCAAGUCGAACGGAAAGGCCCUGCUUUUGUGGGGUGCUCGAGUGGCGAACGGGUGAGUAACACGUGAGUAACCUGCCCAUGACUUUGGGAUAACUUCAGGAAACUGGGGCUAAUACCGGAUAGGAGCUCCUGCUGCAUGGUGGGGGUUGGAAAGUUUCGGCGGUUGGGGAUGGACUCGCGGCUUAUCAGCUUGUUGGUGGGGUAGUGGCUUACCAAGGCUUUGACGGGUAGCCGGCCUGAGAGGGUGACCGGCCACAUUGGGACUGAGAUACGGCCCAGACUCCUACGGGAGGCAGCAGUGGGGAAUAUUGCACAAUGGGCGGAAGCCUGAUGCAGCAACGCCGCGUGCGGGAUGACGGCCUUCGGGUUGUAAACCGCUUUCGCCUGUGACGAAGCGUGAGUGACGGUAAUGGGUAAAGAAGCACCGGCUAACUACGUG